UUUUAUGGAGAGUUUGAUCCUGGCUCAGGAUGAACGCUGGCGGCGUGCCUAAUACAUGCAAGUCGAGCGAACGGACGAGAAGCUUGCUUCUCUGAUGUUAGCGGCGGACGGGUGAGUAACACGUGGAUAACCUACCUAUAAGACUGGGAUAACUUCGGGAAACCGGAGCUAAUACCGGAUAAUAUUUUGAACCGCAUGGUUCAAAAGUGAAAGACGGUCUUGCUGUCACUUAUAGAUGGAUCCGCGCUGCAUUAGCUAGUUGGUAAGGUAACGGCUUACCAAGGCAACGAUGCAUAGCCG
rnacentral:rRNA from 1 species